GAUGGAGACCAGUCACCCUGAGCACCCCUGAUUGCAUCGGAUCUCGGAAGCUAAGCAGGGUCGGGGCUGGUUAGCACCUGGAUGGGAGACAUGUUGCUCGUUAACUGUGUCCAGAGGAACUCGGUUGCCCUCAUCA
ensembl:rRNA 5S_rRNA 5S ribosomal RNA